rnacentral:rRNA from 1 species
AGAAUUUAGCAGAGAUGCUUUAGUGCCUUCGGGAACUCUGAGACAGGUGCUGCAUGGCUGUCGUCAGCUCGUGUUGUGAAAUGUUGGGUUAAGUCCCGCAACGAGCGCAACCCCUAUCCUUUGUUGCCAGCGAUUCGGUCGGGAACUCAAAGGAGACUGCCGGUGAUAAACCGGAGGAAGGUAGGGAUGACGUCAAGUCAUCAUGGCCCUUACGAGUAGGGCUACACACGUGCUACAAUGGCGCAUACAAAGAGAAGCGACCUCGCGAGAGCAAGCGGACCUCAUAAAGUGCGUCGUAGUCCGGAUUGGAGUCUGCAACUCGACUCCAUGAAGUCGGAAUCGCUAGUAAUCGUAGAUCAGAAUGCUACGGUGAAUACGUUCCCGGGCCUUGUACACACCGCCCGUCACACCAUGGGAGUGGGUUGCAAAAGAAGUAGAUAGCUUAACCUUCGGGAGGGCGCUUACCACUUUGUGAUUCAUGACUGGGGUGAAGUCGUAACAAGGUAGGCGUAGCGAG